CACCGUCCCAAGAUGGCUGCCAGGUGCGGUGGCUAAGCCUGGGCACAUCUGAAGCCGGUGCCGACCAUCAGGGCCGAGUUGCGACGAGAGAGUGUUAUUAAGCCGAGUUGGCCAGGUCCCUAAGUCUUGGAUGGCGAGCUGUAGAUAGGCCUUGAGCCUGAGCCCAAGGAUCUCCACCUCUCAACCCCUGAACUCCACCUGCUCUGGUCGGGCCGGUAGGCGGCUUAUAGCCGAACCCCUUGCCUUGCACCUCAUUACUCUGCAGCCCUUUGCACUACCUCAUACACACCCUGCCCAUAAACUGAACUGUCACUACAAACUGCCAUAUCCACAACCCCAACCCUGGGACCCCAUUUUGAAAAUUCCUAGCGCCAACACUG